rnacentral:rRNA from 2 species
AACUUUCAACAACGGAUCUCUUGGCUCUCGCAUCGAUGAAGGACGCAGCGAAAUGCGAUAAGUAAUGUGAAUUGCAGAAUUCAGUGAAUCAUCGAAUCUUUGAACGCACCUUGCACCUUUUGGUAUUCCGAAAGGUAUGCCUGUUUGAGUGUCAU